GCCGGGGUGGCGGAAUGGCAGACGCGCCGGACUCAAAAUCCGGUGAGUGAAAGCUCGUGUGGGUUCGACUCCCACCCCCGGCACCA
rnacentral:tRNA from 1 species